GCGCGGGGGGCGGAGAGGGGACCCGGGAGCGUGCGAGUUCCCUUCCCGAGACACCUUCGCCCUCCCGCCGCAGCCCCCGCGGGAGGGGCAGCCCUGGCGGGGCGGGGGCGGGCGGCGCGGAGCCGGCGGAGCGGCAGAGCCCGUGGGCUGGCAGCUCAGUUCGUCUGGCCCAGCGGUGGCAUCACCAGAUCUUCCAUUGAAAGCCAAGGGCUUGCAGGGAGAGCGAGGGGAAUUCCCGCCUGCAAAUGCAAAGGUGGAUGCCAGGCAGGACGAGUGUAGCCUCAGGGUCAAGCUACAGAGCUGUUACAGGACUCGGUUCCCCGUAGCAGGACAGCAGAGCAAAAAGCUUCAGGGGAGAGUUUCUAGCACAGCUGGAGUGAGAAGCCUUUUUGUGUCUUGCCUACAGCUUUAUCUACUUUGGCAAAUAAGUAGAGAAAAAAAAAAACGGAAAAAACCCCACUUUAGUUGAACAGUUACAUAACUCUUCUGAGCUGAUCUAAAGACUAAAUUAAGAAUUCUAGGAAUACAAGAAAAUUCCCAGUCAGGAUUAUAUACACUUGGAUAUUGUACCUGUGAGGACUACAGGCACAGGGGCCAUCAGAAAUCUCACCCUAAGUCUUCCAUUCCUUGCUAGCAGGGAACAUGGGAUAUACUUCUGGUUCUCUCCAACCUGUUGCUUCUAUCGUUAGAAUAUUAUUUAAAGCAAGUUUUGUCAUUAUAUUAAGUAUCAGAUUUGUUGUGUAUCUUAUAUGCUUGAUUAUAAUUCUAAUUCAUUAAUUGAUUACAGGAUUUCUAAAUAGUUUGUCUACUGAGAUUCUGUGGCUACAAGCAUAAGGUAGGGUCUUACUCAGCAUUAGUUUAGAAGACAAGCCUUUAAGCAAGCUACUUCAAUGUUUUGGCUUUACAGUACUUUUGUCUUUAUUCCUGUCUCUCAAUUCCUUCAUCACAAAAACUCCAGUCUUCCUCUCAAACUAUUCAGAAGACUAUUGUUAAUAUUUACACUAAACUUUGUUUUUACUUUCUUCUUUUAGCCAGCCCCAUAAUUUCCCUUUCUCUCAUUAGCAAUUAAAAAAAGUUUAAAAAAAUAAAUAUAGCUGUUGUGUUUUUUUUGGGUGGGGU
rnacentral:lncRNA from 1 species